GGCUACGUGUGUUUUAUCACUUUAAAAGGUUUAGUUGUGUCUGUUGUCGUUAGCAAUUUUAGUAAUAAGCUGGAAUAACUGUAUGACAACCUCCUAUAUAUCGAGUAAUAAUGAAAACUUCUGAUAUAGAAGACGAGUUUUACAAGGACUGGUUAGACUGUUUGCAUAUUGAGCUUAAUGCAAUGCGAAAUAGACAGUCAUCUCAAAGGCAGCUAGAAGCGGAUUCGAAAAGUUCGGUGCAAAAACUGGCACAGUAUUCAAGUAUCUUAGAAAUGGAAGAAAAUAUCAAAAAUAUACAGGAGUUUUUUGGAAUUUUUAUUAAAAGUUUGAUCAAUCCAUCUCGAAAAGCUAAUGUUGUUAACGAAGGUAGUCUUAUUCGACCCUGUGAGUUAUGGGAGCGUUUUGCUGAAUAUUUUUUCCGUUACAUAAACACGGAUUUUCUUCCUGAGGCAAACAAACUACUUGUAACUCAUGAAGGAAAAAAGGAUGACAAAGGUGCAGACGUUAAGUGUGUGUGGAAUGAAAAGGAAACAAAGAAAACUGCAGUUGUUCAAGCAAAGAGAGGAUGUUUUUUCGGGACUGGAAAAGGCAAUGCAAUUGUCCAAGGACUAAUCGGAUCCAUGCACUACUUUGAUGCAGAUAUUGGUGUAAUUUUUACAAGUGAAUCAACUGCAGCAGUUAAACCAAGUGCACACGAAUUAAUUGAAAAAGCCAGAAAGCAUAAAUCCUUUCCUGUCUCCAUAUAUGUAGUAGGCGUUGACACAUUGGAGACCUUUGCAUCUAAAAACGCCGAAUCGUGCAAGAGGUUAAUGGUAAAUUUUAUCGAGGAGUUUUUUGUGGCAAUGUGAAGAAUGCCUGCUUUGUUGAUGUAUAUGGAAGUUACAUGGAAUGUACUAUUAACAGAACAUUUGUAAAUAUCUUUGAACGCAGAUUUUUUUGUGGUGAUAAUAAUCAUAAUAAUCAAAAUAAUAACCAAUAAUAUGACAAAUACUACGCGCUCUAUGUCGUCACAAUAGAACUAAAAAACGUAAUUAUUUGUAAAAAAAGGCAUAGCAAACUAAGUUAAUUUUAUUGAUCAAUUAUACAGUAAGUAUUUGACUAUUUAUUAGAUGAGUUAUAUAAUUAUAUUAUAAAUAUAUCUGAAAUUAAAAAUCAUAUUACGUACAUACGUGUAUUUUGUUAUCAAAACAUGUUUUAUCUGUUGAUACUUUUGGAUCGUGACGUGGUUCUUGCAUCUUUACCGAUGUUCGAAGGUAAAACUCGCCAUUCGUAGUUGUACUCAGUAAAAGAAUUUCAACAACAGGCAUUCUUCAGGAAAAGCUCACUCACGUGAAUCGGCAGGAAUCGAGGUGGUUGGUGCACUUCAUGUAUUGUAUCCAAUUAAGGUGCUAAAUGCUGACGUUAUUGCACAUAAAAUAUCAAGACAAAAACAGCUAGCGAAACAACUAACACAAUUGCCUUCUCCAAAGUAGAAACGUUUCAAUCUCAGUCAUGGCUGUGGAGGCGAUGGUAUGUUUACUUCAACCACAAAGACAAAAUAAUUACUAUGCACAUGGUAAAGGUUUCUGCUUUUGUUACUAGUAAUACAGGUGAUGACUUCUGUAUGUUCGUCUUCAUUAACUUCCGUCUAGAAACCACUUUCAAAACAAGGCUAUAGUCAAGAAGUAAUAUAAAAUUCUUAUGGACGGUAACGAAUGCUACAGACUGAAUAAGCAUUUACAAUUUUGAAUUUGAUAAAAAAAACAAAAAUCAUAAGUUUAAAGAUUUGCGAUCGUUGGAAUAUAUUUGGUUGACCAUUAGUUCUCGAUGAUAUCAUCAGCCUAGUAGACAGUACUAAGGUACUGGCAUGAAAAUACCGAUAUUGUUUGAUUGAAAUUACUGUUAUAAAACUUGUAUUUUAAUAUAAAUUAAGGAACAUAUCUCCUUAAUGCAAAGUUCUUAUUGUUUGUCCGGAUUUUUGCUAUACUUAAGAUCCUUUUAGUUUUAUCAUAUCUUCAACCUUGUAAUAGGUUUUGGAUAUUUCAAAUAUUUUGCCUUCAAGCAUCACUUAAUAGACAGAACUAUAUCGAGUGGAAUAUAAGUGAUAAUGUUUAUGUUAUUUCUGAUACAUUUGUAAACAAACUAUUGUUAUUUAAAAGUACAUUUAGACCCAAAUCGAAAUAAUGGUUUUAGUAUACACAAAUAUAUUUGUUAACUUUUAUAUAAUUUUAGCUUUGACAUAAGCAUAUCAAACUUUUAAAUUUUCAUUGAAAGGGAAUCCUAUUCAAAGCAGAGAUUAAUAUUAAAAGAUGAGUCAAGCCUCUUAAAAUAACCCCCAAAAUGUUGUAUGAAGUAUAAUAAAAAUGUACAAAAAG